AUCCAUCUGACGAGUCCCAGAUAGGGCUAAACGCGCGUCCCAGAU
rnacentral:hammerhead_ribozyme from 1 species